AUGAUCAAGAUCGUGGUUACGUUGUGGGCUAUAUGGUCGGCCAGGCGCAAAGCAAUACAUGAAGGUGUGCUGCAGAGUCCACAUGCUACGCAUGCGUUUAUAACUAAUUAUAUUUAUGAGUUGAAUUCAGUACAGUUGCAUAGAAGGGACACUAGGCAGGAGACGCCACAUGAAAUUUCAAGGCCAACAAGCACAAACAGAUGGUAUGUGCCUGGUAACGGUGAAGCAAAGAUUCAAGUGGAUGGUGGCCUAACAAGGGAUGGUACAAGGGGUGCUGCGGCUGCUGUAUGCCGUGAUCAUACGGGAAAUUUUCUGGGAUCUUCGGCUAUGGUUUUCAGCGGAAUAACAGACCCAAUGACUCUUGAAGCACUAGCAUGCCGAGAAGCGUUGGCCCUUGCUCUAGAUUUGUCUCUGACUAGAGUGGUCAUUGCUUGUGAUUGCAAAUCAGUGGUGCAAGAGAUAAAAGGUGGCACGGAAGGAAGAUACAGUGCGAUCAUUAAGGAAAUCUCAGAACGUUCGAGAGAACUCACAAGUUGUAAAUUUAUCUUUGAAGGCCGUAGUUUAAAUUUUGAUGCACACAAAUUUAGCUAA
rnacentral:rRNA from 1 species